ACGACUGCUAAGACUGGAUAGGAGACAAGAAGGCAUCUUCUUGUUUUUAAAAGACCUAGCAAUAGGUAUGCUUAGGGAGGAGCCUGCGUCACCUAAGUUAGUUGGUGGGUUAAAGGCCUACCAAGACUAUGAUGUGUAGCUGGGCUGAGAAGUGACCGGUCACAUCGGGACUGAGACACGGCCCAAACUCCUACGGGAGGCAGCAGUAGGAAAUUUUCGGCAAUGGAGGAAACUCUGACCGAGCAACGCCGCGUGAACGAUGAAGUAUUUCGGUACGUAAAGUUCUUUUAUUAGGGAAGAAUAAAUGAUGGAAAAAUCAUUCUGACGGUACCUAAUGAAUAAGCCCCGGCUAACUAUGUGCCAGCAGCCGCGGUAAUACAUAGGGGGCAAGCGUUAUCCGGAAUUAUUGGGCGUAAAGGGUGCGUAGGCGGUUAAAUAAGUUUAUGGUCUAAGUGCAAUGCUCAACAUUGUGAUGCUAUAAAAACUGUUUAGCUAGAGUAAGAUAGAGGCAAGUGGAAUUCCAUGUGUAGUGGUAAAAUGCGUAAAUAUAUGGAGGAACACCAGUAGCGAAGGCGGCUUGCUGGGUCUUUACUGACGCUGAGGCACGAAAGCGUGGGGAGCAAACAGGAUUAGAUACCCUGGUAGUCCACGCCGUAAACGAUGAGUACUAAACGUUGGGUAAAACCAGUGUUGAAGUUAACACAUUAAGUACUCCGCCUGAGUAGUACGUACGCAAGUAUGAAACUUAAAGGAAUUGACGGGACUCCGCACAAGCGGUGGAUCAUGUUGUUUAAUUCGAAGGUACCCGAAAAACCUCACCAGGUCUUGACAUGCUUCUGCAAAGCUGUAGAAACACAGUGGAGGUUAUCAGUUGCACAGGUGGUGCAUGGUUGUCGUCAGCUCGUGUCGUGAGAUGUUGGGUUAAGUCCCGCAACGAGCGCAACCCUUAUUGUUAGUUACCAGCACGUAAUGGUGGGGACUUUAGCAAGACUGCCAGUGAUAAAUUGGAGGAAGGUGGGGACGACGUCAAAUCAUCAUGCCCCUUAUGACCUGGGCUACAAACGUGAUACAAUGGCUGUUACAAAGGGUAGCUGAAGCGCAAGUUUUUGGCGAAUCUCAAAAAAACAGUCUCAGUUCGGAUUGAAGUCUGCAACUCGACUUCAUGAAGUUGGAAUCGCUAGUAAUCGCGAAUCAGCAUGUCGCGGUGAAUACGUUCUCGGGGUUUGUACACACCGCCCGUC
rnacentral:rRNA from 1 species